UCUCCCGCGCUGUUUCUUGAACCCUCCAGUGGACGCUAUCGGAUUCGGAGUGGAGGACUUCCAGUGCCAAAAUGUAUCCUCAAAAUUCGAGCCAGUUUUUGCUUCCUUUCAACCCUCCUCAAUCUCUGAGAGAAAUUUCAUGGUGACAUGAUUGAGUCAACGAUUUCAAUGCAGGGAUAUAGACAUGGUGGCUGGAGCUACAGCAGGCAUUUUGGACCAUGAGGCAACCUUAGGAAUGGUGGGGACUACACAUGGUGGAACAAAAUAGAAGCCUAAGUCCCUUGCAGCAUGGAACACUAUAUCAGUUCUGUAUAACCAACUUCUGGAUUUUUACCUGAAAGAGAAAUAAACUUCUAUCUCAAGCUUUCGACAGUGUCUGGCAAAUAUCUGACAUUCAACAAACAUUUUCUGAAUGAAGAAGUAAGAGCAGGGCCCUGCUGCUCAGAAUAAAAGACUGCAUUUCCCUGACUCUGUGGUAGCUGGGUGUGGCCUUGCAACUACAGGCAAGUCAAGAAGAUGUCAGUGGAAGCAUUGUGAGAGACUUCCAGGGAGGCUACCCUGAUGGAGUUGACUGAUUGGAAGGCGUGGAGAGGAGCGGUGGGCAUUCUGCUUCUUUCUGGUCUGCCGCAGAUCUAAUAUGUAGGAUUACAGGAUUUAGACUUUGUGGCGUGGAUUUCGGACUGUGUCUCCUCUCUCUGGCAUCUUACCUGAGUCCUGAACGCAGCUGGCACCAAAAGCAAUUCAGAAUUUGCCGCAGAAAAACGUGGACCUCAAAAACGUUGUCAAAGACGCUCUCGGGGUUCAGGGAAUUUGAGCCAGGGGCGGGACGAGUCGGGGCCGCGUCCAAGCUCGCCCCGCCCCUUUGCGAAGCCAAUAACUCGGGACGAGAGUGGGAGGGGUAGGGCAAGAAGGCGACCUCGUGAUUGGCACGCCGACACCCGCAGCCUAAGAGGCUACCUCUGUAUCUAGUCUACCAGAGCGCUAGGCAAGUGCAGAUCUAUAAAGUUUGUCCACUCCGGGGCACCGUAGUGCCUUUAACCCUGGCGGAGUGGGCGGGGCUGCGCUAGGCUGGGCUGGGCGGCUAGAGCCCGGCUCAGCUUUGGAGACCUGAUGGCUGCGGUGUUUCUGGUAACGCUCUAUGAGUACUCGCCGCUUUUCUAUAUUGCAGUGGUCUUUACGUGCUUCAUCGUGACUACUGGCCUGGUGUUGGGAUGGUUUGGUUGGGAUGUUCCAGUAAUUCUGAGAAAUUCAGAAGAGACCCAAUUCAACACAAGAGUUUUCAAAAAGCAAAUGAGACAAGUCAAGAAUCCUUUUGGCUUAGAGAUCACCAAUCCAUCUUCAGCUUCAAUUACAAGUUUGGAGAGCCAGAAUCAGAGUCUGUUCAGCCAGGAACAGUGACCAAAACCAUGCCCUUUUGAUCUGCUGGCAUAACUUUGAGAACAGAUUGCCUUGAAGACAGCCUCCUUACAUGCUACUGGGGGUGCAGUGUUCAAAGAUUAUAUGAAGCUCUGCAGAAACACUUUUAUUGCUUCCGAAUAAGCACUCCCCGAGCAUUGGAUGAUGCUCUGUAUAGUGAAUAUCUCUAUCAAGAGCAGUAUUUUAUUAAAAAGGACAGCAAAGAAGAAAUAUAUUGCCAGUUACCAAGAGAGAACAAAAUUGAAGAUUUUGGUAUGGUGCCCAGAUCUCGUUAUCCACUUGUAGCCCUGUUGACCCUGGCCGAUGAGGAUGACCGAGAAAUUUAUGAUAUUAUUUCUAUGGUGUCAGUAAUUCAUAUUCCUGAUAAGACUUAUAAACUCUCAUGUAGAAUAUUAUAUCAAUAUUUACUCCUGGCUCAAGGUCAAUUUCAUGAUCUUAAGCAACUUUUCAUGUCUGCAAAUAAUAAUUCCACUCCCUCCAGCAAUUCCUCUCCAGAAGGAAAAAAUACAGACCAAAGCUUGAUGGAAAAGGCAGGACUAUCUGAAAGUGAAGUAGAGCCACUGGAGGAGAACAGCAAGGACUGUGUGGUUUGCCAGAAUGGGACAGUGAACUGGGUGCUCUUGCCGUGUAGACACACAUGCUUGUGUGAUGGCUGUGUUAAGUAUUUUCAGCAGUGCCCUAUGUGCAGGCAGUUUGUUCAGGAAUCUUUUGCACUUUGCAGUCAAAAAGAGCAAGAUAAAGACAAACUGAAAAGUCUCUGAGGAUGUUGUUACUACUGAAAAGUACACUUUCCACUGAAGAUGCAAACAUAUGUUCUUAGAAUUAAUCAUAACAUGGAAUCUACGGUAUUAAACAUCAGUGAAAAUUCUGUUUUAACUUCAUAUUUGUACAUGGUACAUGGAUGAUGAAAAUGAGUUAUUCCUUGCUGUUCACUAUGGCAAACACUGGAAUCCUAUUCAGUGUCAACGCAUAAAAAUUCAUCCAACUCUCGAGAAGAAUGUAAACGUUUGGACUUUUAUCAGCUGGUGGAUUUCAUGUAAUGUCCAUGAGAAAACUUCUGAAAAUCAAUCCAUCCAAAAUUUGAGGAAGUAAAAGUCUUAAGAUUUUUCAAUGUUUUUCCUUUGACAUAAUCUGGAGUUCAAUUGGGUAAAAACUAAUUUCUUCUUAAAGUACUUGUAUAUUCCCUAGUUUACAAAAGAGUAGGAAAGGGCUUCUAACUUUAAAUCCUUUCAUAUCAGUUUUUAUAAAUAUCCAUCUGUUUAGUUUCUAAUUUUCUUAUAAUCAUAGUCAUAUAAACACGUCUUAAUUUUUAAAUAUAGUUUCUUAAAUCAUAAAUGCAAGAUACAGAUCUUGACUGUUCUCAGUGUAUCAUAGAUUAAAAUGAUACUCAUUUAUAGGAAGCAGAUAUAUAAAUCAUGGGUAAUAAAAUUUCUUGGAUAAUUAAAUUUAUUGUCAAAGAUGAUUAGAUUAGCAGAAUGUGACCUAUCAGGAAGAUCUAUGAGAUUUUAAUGCCUUACCUUACAUUUCCUCCUGCACAAGGAAUCUAUCCAAAACUGGAGGGUUUUUAGAGCCAGAAAAAUCACUAAAAGAAGCAAAUAACUAUAUUUUUCUAGUGUGGUUUUUAUUCCAAAUAAACCCCAUGUCCUCUGAAUAGUAAAUCACUUUCUUUAUCUCCUGUUUCAUCCUCUUAAGAAUUGAGGAAAUGGAAAGAUGGAAAGUCAAAAAAAAAAAAAAAAAAAAAAGAGCCCCCACUCCUCACUUUCUCCAGGAUGACCCAGAAGAAAAAAGUAAAUCAGAGCUUCCUGUUUCUUUGGUGGAAAUUACCUUUAAUUCGCUAAGAAAUUAGAUCAUGGUAAAUAAACUAUGACAUGCAGGGA